UGCUCUGGAUUAGGCUUUGGCUUAAGGGAAUGUUUUAGCUGGUUUGCUCUUUUAUCCAGACCACUAAAACUUUCUCCAUUAUCAGC
ensembl:miRNA